GUAUGGGUUAUAGAGAACCUAUCCAGCAACAGCCUUCCUGUGCACGGGGUUUCCUUUUCCUUCUGAAAGGCUCUUUCAUCUUUUGAGCUCCUCUGAGUUGGAGAUUUGAACUGGAACAUCUCCUCCACCUUCUUAAGGCUGAUACCUAAACUUUCAAACCUGAUACUAUCCAGCAAAACAGAAUAGAGGAACCUCAGUCAAAAACAAGAUGGUGAGAGUGACAUGUGGUUUUGGACACUAACAGACUAGGGGGAGAGAACAAGGCCUCACCAAAAAGCUAGCCUUGCCUGCAAACCAGAGUCACGCGCUGACCAUUGCCAGCAGGUGGACAGCCUGAACCCAGCUCCUUCCAGGAUGAGGGCUGGCACACAAGAAGAGCCAACCCUACCCCCUAGAGCCAGUGGAAAAGAAGCUUAAUGUCAGGGACUCACUGAAGAUCGCUCAUCCCUGUGCUUCUACCACUGCCUCUAAAGUGAAUUAACAAGAUGAGGACUGGAGAAAAGAACAGAACUAGGAAACCAGAAAGCAUGAAACACAAAUAAUUUCUCUCCUUGACUCAAAGAAACUUCUUGACACAGAUGGUUUGUGGAUUGAGAAGUAGAAAACACGUAUGAUUUUGUACACUCUUAUUUUGUCUGGACGUGUUGGAAGAAAAAUAGAGGCGAGCCAGUGAUGUUGUGUGUCAUAUUACG